AUUGAACGCUGGCGGCAUGCCUUACACAUGCAAGUCGAACGGCAGCACGGGUGCUUGCACCUGGUGGCGAGUGGCGAACGGGUGAGUAAUACAUCGGAACAUGUCCUGUAGCGGGGGAUAGCCCGGCGAAAGCCGGAUUAAUACCGCAUACGAUCUACGGAUGAAAGCGGGGGACCUUCGGGCCUCGCGCUAUAGGGUUGGCCGAUGGCUGAUUAGCUAGUUGGUGGGGUAAAGGCCUACCAAGGCGACGAUCAGUAGCUGGUCUGAGAGGACGACCAGCCACACUGGGACUGAGACACGGCCCAGACUCCUACGGGAGGCAGCAGUGGGGAAUUUUGGACAAUGGGCGAAAGCCUGAUCCAGCAAUGCCGCGUGUGUGAAGAAGGCCUUCGGGUUGUAAAGCACUUUUGUCCGGAAAGAAAUCCUUGGCCCUAAUACGGUCGGGGAUGACGGUACCGGAAGAAUAAGCACCGGCUAACUACGUG
rnacentral:rRNA from 1 species